UACGAGAGGCCCAAACGUUAUUCGGAAUUACUGGGCUUAAAGAGUUCGUAGGCGGCAUGAAAAGCAGGGUGUGAAAGCCCUCGGCUCAACCGAGGAAUUGCGCUCUGAACUGUCGUGCUUGAGGAACCUAGAGGUGAGCAGAACAGAUGGUGGAGCGGUGAAAUGCGCUGAUAUCAUCUGGAAUACCGGAGGCGAAGGCGGCUCACUGGGGGUUUUCUGACGCUGAGGAACGAAAGCCAGGGUAGCGAACGGG
rnacentral:rRNA from 1 species